rnacentral:rRNA from 1 species
GAUGAACGCUGGCGGCGUGCUUAACACAUGCAAGUCGAGCGGAAAGACGAGGCUCUUGCUCGUCUCACGUGAGGGGCGGGUGGGUGAGACACAUGAGUAUACCCUCCCUUUCUGUCUGGGAUCUCUACGGGAAAGCGGAUAUAACAUCGGAUAAGAUCUUGAAACUCGGGGGUCAUUGGAGAAAGCCGGCUUUGCUGGACCUAAUAGAGGUUUCCACGCUGGUUUGGUUAGUUGGUAGGGUAACGGCCUACCAAGGCGACGAUGCGUAGCCGACCUGAGAGGGUGAUCGGCCACACUGGAACUGAGACACGGUCCAGACUCCUACGGGAGGCAGCAGUGGGGAAUCUUCGGCAAUGGGCGAAAGCCUGACACAGCAACGCCGCGUGUGUGAUGAAGGUCUUCGGAUCGUAAAGCACUUUUAUUGGGGAUGAACAGAUGUGUACGAAGACGUGGACUUCGUGACGGUACCUAGUCAAAAAGCACCGGCUAACUACGUG